rnacentral:rRNA from 1 species
GACGAACGCUGGCGGCGUGCUUAACACAUGCAAGUCGAACGAAGUGGCGAACGGGUGAGUAAUACGUGGGUAACCUGACCUCCUUUUUGGGAUAAGCCUUGGCAACGGGGCCUAAUACAGAACAAAGGGGGAGGGGCUGGAGGCCUAUCAGGUUGUUGGUGGGGUGCUGUGUUACCAAGGCGGUGACGGGUAGCAGGCCUGAGAGGUGAACCGGCCACUGUGGGACGGCGCUACCGCCCAGGCUCCUACGCGGUGCAGCAUUUUGGGCUAUUGCACAAUGUGCGAAAGCCUGAUGCAGCGACGCCGCGUGGGGGUUGAGGGCUUUCGGGUUGUAAACCUCUUUCGCUAUCGAAAGGGUAGGUGAAGAAGAAGCGCCGGCUAACUACGUGCCAGCAGCCGCGGUAAUUC